AACCCCUCACGCCUAGCGUGGUAUUGGGACACGCGGUCUCCGCGGCCCUCAAAAUUAGUGGCGGCGCCGGUGGGCUCUAAGCGUAGUACAUACUCCCGCUAUAGAGUUCCCCCCGGUGGCUCGCCAGAACCCCCAAUUUUUACA
rnacentral:misc_RNA from 1 species